UACAGAGGGGGCAAGCGUUAUUCGGAAUUAUUGGGCGUAAAGGGCGCGUAGGCGGCUCGAUAAGUCAAAGGUGAAAUCCCUCGGCUCAACUGAGGAACUGCCUUUGAAACUGUAGAGCUUGAGUCCGGGAGGGGGUAGCGGAAUUCCCAGUGUAGCGGUGAAAUGCGUAGAUAUUGGGAGGAACACCAGUGGCGAAGGCGGCUACCUGGACCGGAACUGACGCUGAGGCGCGAAAGCGUGGGUAGCAAACAGG
rnacentral:rRNA from 1 species